rnacentral:rRNA from 1 species
UACGGAGGGUGCGAGCGUUGUCCGGAAUCAUUGGGCGUAAAGGGCGCGUAGGUGGCGGGACAAGCGUGCGGUGAAAGCCUGGGGCUCAACCCCGGGUCGGCCGUGCGAACUGUUUUGCUUGAGCACUGUAGAGGCAGGCGGAAUUCCGGGUGUAGCGGUGGAAUACGUAGAGAUCCGGAAGAACACCGGUGGCGAAGGCGGCCUGCUGGGCAGUAGCUGACACUGAGGCGCGACAGCGUGGGGAGCAAACAGG